CCUACGGGUGGCAGCAGUGAGGAAUAUUGGUCAAUGGACGUAAGUCUGAACCAGCCAAGUAGCGUGAAGGAUGACUGCCCUAUGGGUUGUAAACUUCUUUUAUAUGGGGAUAAAAUGUGCCACGUGUGAGGUUUUGUAUGUACCUUAUGAAUAAGGAUCGGCUAACUCCGUGCCAGCAGCCGCGGUAAUACGGAGGAUCCGAGCGUUAUCCGGAUUUAUUGGGUUUAAAGGGAGCGUAGGCGGGUUGUUAAGUCAGUUGUGAAAGUUUGCGGCUCAACCGUAAAAUUGCAGUUGAUACUGGCAGUCUUGAGUACAGUAGAGGUGGGCGGAAUUCGUGGUGUAGCGGUGAAAUGCUUAGAUAUCACGAAGAACUCCGAUUGCGAAGGCAGCCUACUGGACUGUAACUGACGCUGAGGCUCGAAAGUGUGGGUAUCAAACAGGAUUAGAUACCCGGGUAGUC
rnacentral:rRNA from 1 species